GACGAACGCUGGCGGCGUGCCUAACACAUGCGAGUCGAGCGAAUGAAGUUCCUUCGGGACCGGAUUUAGCGGCGGACGGGUGAGUAACACGUGGGCAACCUGCCUCAUAGAGGGGAAUAGCCUUCCGAAAGGGAGAUUAAUACCGCAUAAGAUUGUAGUACCGCAUGGUACAGCAAUUAAAGGAGCAAUCCGCUAUGAGAUGGGCCCGCGGCGCAUUAGCUAGUUGGUGAGGUAACGGCUCACCAAGGCGACGAUGCGUAGCCGACCUGAGAGGGUGAUCGGCCACAUUGGGACUGAGACACGGCCCAGACUCCUACGGGAGGCAGCAGUGGGGAAUAUUGCACAAUGGGGGAAACCCUGAUGCAGCAACGCCGCGUGAGUGAUGACGGCCUUCGGGUUGUAAAGCUCUGUCUUCAGGGACGAUAAUGACGGUACCUGAGGAGGAAGCCACGGCUAACUACGUG
rnacentral:rRNA from 1 species